rnacentral:rRNA from 1 species
GACGAACGCUGGCGGCGUGCUUAACACAUGCAAGUCGAACGGAAAGGCCCUGCUUUUGUGGGGUGCUCGAGUGGCGAACGGGUGAGUAACACGUGAGUAACCUGCCCUUGACUUUGGGAUAACUUCAGGAAACUGGGGCUAAUACCGGAUAGGAGCUCCUGCUGCAUGGUGGGGGUUGGAAAGUUUCGGCGGUUGGGGAUGGACUCGCGGCUUAUCAGCUUGUUGGUGGGGUAGUGGCUUACCAAGGCUUUGACGGGUAGCCGGCCUGAGAGGGCGACCGGCCACAUUGGGACUGAGAUACGGCCCAGACUCCUACGGGAGGCAACAGUGGGGAAUAUUGCACAAUGGGCGGAAGCCUGAUGCAGCAACGCCGCGUGCGGGAUGACGGCCUUCGGGUUGUAAACCGCUUUCGCCUGUGACGAAGCGUGAGUGACGGUAAUGGGUAAAGAAGCACCGGCUAACUACGUG